GCACGCGUAGCUCAGUUGGAUAGAGCGUUUGACUUCGAAUCAAAAGGUCGCAGGUUCGAGCCCUGCCGCGUGCACCA
rnacentral:tRNA from 2 species